rnacentral:rRNA from 1 species
CAGUCGCCACGGUAAUACAGAGGGUGCGAGCGUUAAUCGGAUUUACUGGGCGUAAAGCGUGCGUAGGCGGCUUCUUAAGUCGGAUGUGAAAUCCCUGAGCUUAACUUAGGAAUUGCAUUCGAUACUGGGAAGCUAGAGUAUGGGAGAGGAUGGUAGAAUUCCAGGUGUAGCGGUGAAAUGCGUAGAGAUCUGGAGGAAUACCGAUGGCGAAGGCAGCCAUCUGGCCUAAUACUGACGCUGAGGUACGAAAGCAUGGGGAGCAAACAGGAUUAGAGACCCGUGUAGUCCCUGUCUCUUAUAC